UACGGAGGAUGCGAGCGUUAUCCGGAUUUAUUGGGUUUAAAGGGUGCGCAGGCGGUCUGUUAAGUCAGCGGUCAAAGCCCGGGGCUCAACCCCGGCCCGCCGUUGAAACUGGCAGUCUCGAGUUGGAGAGAAGUAUGCGGAAUGCGCGGUGUAGCGGUGAAAUGCAUAGAUAUAUGGAAGAACACCAGUGGCGAAAGCGGCUCUCUGGUCUGUAACUGACGCUGAGGUUCGAAAGCGUGGGUAGCAAACAGG
rnacentral:rRNA from 1 species